AGGAGUGCAGAACUGGCUGGGAAAAUAUCUAAUUGCGAUUAUUUUGACUUAUAUUCCAAUUGCAAUAUGAUUAACGAUAUUGGAGGAAAUUAUCAUUUUUGAAUCGUUAAUCUCAUUUUCAUUAAAAAAAUUAAAAAUAAAAAAAAAUUAAAAGGA